rnacentral:rRNA from 1 species
UGUAUCCUACGGGGGGCAGCAGUGAGGAAUAUUGGUCAAUGGUCGGGAGACUGAACCAGCCACGCCGCGUGAAGGAGGAAGGUACAGAGAAUCGUAAACCUCUUUUGCCAGGGAACAAAGACUGGAACGCGUCCCCGGAUGAGUGUACCUGAAGAAAAAGCAUCGGCUAACUCCGUGCCAGCAGCCGCGGUAAUACGGAGGAUGCGAGCGUUAUCCGGAUUUAUUGGGUUUAAAGGGUGCGCAGGCGGUCUGUUAAGUCAGCGGUCAAAGCCCGGGGCUCAACCCCGGCCCGCCGUUGCAACUGG